ACGAACGCUGGCAGCAUGCCUAACACAUGCAAGUCGCACGAGACCUUCGGGUCUAGUGGCGCACGGGUGCGUAACGCGUGGGAACCUGCCCUUAGGUUCGGAAUAACUCCCCGAAAGGGGUGCUAAUACCGGAUAAUGUCUUCGGACCAAAGAUUUAUCGCCUUUGGAUGGGCCCGCGUUGGAUUAGCUAGUUGGUAGGGUAAAAGCCUACCAAGGCGACGAUCCAUAGCUGGUCUGAGAGGAUGAUCAGCCACACUGGGACUGAGACACGGCCCAGACUCCUACGGGAGGCAGCAGUGGGGAAUAUUGGACAAUGGGCGAAAGCCUGAUCCAGCAAUGCCGCGUGAGUGAUGAAGGCCUUAGGGUUGUAAAGCUCUUUUACCCGGGAUGAUAAUGACAGUACCGGGAGAAUAAGCUCCGGCUAACUCCGUG
rnacentral:rRNA from 1 species